AGAGUUUGAUCCUGGCUCAGAGCGAACGCUGGCGGCAUGCUUAACACAUGCAAGUCGCACGGGCAGGGGCAACUCUGUCAGUGGCGGACGGGUGAGUAACGCGUAGGUAUCUAUCCUUGGGUGGGGGACAACUGUGGGAAACUACAGCUAAUACCGCAUGAUGACCGAGGUCUAAAGGCGCAAGUCGCCUGGGGAGGAGCCUGCGUACGAUUAGCUAGUUGGUGGGGUAAAGGCCUACCAAGGCGACGAUCGUUAGCUGGUCUGAGAGGAUGAUCAGCCACAUUGGGACUGAGACACGGCCCAAACUCCUACGGGAGGCAGCAGUGGGGAAUAUUGGACAAUGGGCGCAAGCCUGAUCCAGCAAUGCCGCGUGUGUGAAGAAGGUCUUCGGAUUGUAAAGCACUUUCGACGGGGACGAUGAUGACGGUACCCGUAGAAGAAGCCCCGGCUAACUUCGUGCCAGCAGCCGCGGUAAUACGAAGGGGGCUAGCGUUGCUCGGAAUGACUGGGCGUAAAGGGCGCGUAGGCGGAUGGCACAGUCAGAUGUGAAAUUCCCGGGCUUAACCUGGGGGCUGCAUUUGAUACGUGUUGUCUAGAGUGAGGAAGAGGGUCGUGGAAUUCCCAGUGUAGAGGUGAAAUUCGUAGAUAUUGGGAAGAACACCGGUGGCGAAGGCGGCGACCUGGUCCUUGACUGACGCUGAGGCGCGAAAGCGUGGGGAGCAAACAGGAUUAGAUACCCUGGUAGUCCACGCUGUAAACGAUGUGUGCUGGAUGUUGGGCGACCUAGUCGCUCAGUGUCGUAGCUAACGCGAUAGGCACACCGCCUGGGAGUACGGCCGCAAGGUUGAAACUUAAAGGAAUUGACGG
rnacentral:rRNA from 1 species